GAGCAAAACGCGUACGCCCCCCCCUGAAACGUAGUCCCGCGGCCUUUCCCAACGUAAGAGAUCGUUGGAGACCGCCGUGUUUGGCAAGAUCUUGCUUCGAACAUAGCUGAUGAAUCCCAUCUCUGAGAAGAACUGUCUUCUAAAUUCUUGGAAGGAAAAUACAAUUAGUGAAUAGUUAGCUGAAGGAGAAACUUUGGUUAACAAGCAGGCAAUGAAUUGAGUUAAAAACUGUUAUGUUAGGAUUUAGGCACAUUUAUCAAUCAUAUUUCGAUGUUAAAAAAUGAGGCGAUUUACUUUUACCUCAACACUUUGCAUCCACAUUAGUCGCCUUGUUUGGCACACACAAACCCUUUUGAUAUCAGAGUUAGCGGAAAGAUAAAAGCUAUGCAUAGUACUCACCAAAGAGAAGGAUUUUGGCUGAAGAAACUUCCGAGCUACCAAGAGAAUUGCAAAUGGUGAGGUCUAUUUGUGAGUUAUUGAUAAUUUAAGUUGUUGAGUGGUAGGGUUAUUACCUUGUCAUGGAUUGGCAACAUCGGGUAACAGAGUGGACAAAGCGAGCUUUAUGGUCCCUGAGAGCUUUACUGAAUGGAAGGAGGAGUGUGACAUGCCACUGGCGAACGGAUUCAUAUCAAGGUAAGAGAUUGGAAUUGCAAACUUUUCUUCCUAUUCUCUUUCAGUAUCAACGGCGGAAUUAGAAAAAUAUAAACUAAAGUUGGUGCACCAUCAUGGAACUGGACCCUUCAUCCAAUCCUUGCACAAUGGGUCAUUUGUCAUCUAUCACUAAAGUAGAAAACUAUUAUCACAAUGCUUUUAACUGCUAUUAAUAAUUCUCACAUGAAAGGGAUAAAGUAGAUAAUGCAUGACAACGGGCUGCAUGGCAAGGAAAGAUGCUCUAUUUCUAAAUUCACCAUUCCCAAGUUGUGGUCCUUCGUUUAAAUCAAAGAAGUUGGAACAAAUAGAAUAUGGAUUGUGGGAUUGUACAGCUAAUAUGGAAUCGAGCAUCUAAUCUCACUUUCUUUGACUAGUUUAACUGUACGUAUAGGUCCAAUACGUGUUGGGCAGAUUAAAACCGGACAGGAGCACCCUUGAAUGGAAUAAAAAUUCGAAUCACAAUUGUGUUAUGUAGUCCUCCAAAACCCUUUUGUUUCUCGUUUUUACUUCUGCACAUCACAUGGAUAUGAAAUGAUCUUCCUUUUCAAGUUUGGAUUGCAUUUGAAAGAGCAAGGUCAUCAUGUAAGAGAUAGAUCAUAAACAUAGCUCGACCAAAAGUAGCAUUACCAAGGGAAACAGGAUAUGAAAACAUGUGGUCUUUAGAGAGGUAAAUCUUAGGGCUUGCAUACUGGAAUAAUAUUAAGAAAGCUUCAUGUUCAUUGUUUUAUCGAAAUCGGUUUGGGAAGGGAUGUGCAUCAAAACUGUACCCAUUAAGCAAAUGAUGUUAAACUGUAUAAUUUGCUCUUGAUAAUAAGUGCAUGUAAGCUGCGGAGUUAAUUAAGUAUUUAAGACGAUGCCAUGAACCGUGAAUGCAGUUGAAAUCUGUCUCUGAAUUCACUGAGCACAACUUCCCAACUGUCUAUUGUAUUUGCUUUAAUGCCCAAUCCCAAAUUCACCUAACAGAUUUCAAUACUUCGGCAGUGCUCUUCUUACGUAGGUCUGGACUCUGGAGCUAAUUUGGUCAGCAUUCUGGCAUUUAACCUUUACUGAAAUUGAAUGCCCACUCCGUCCUUUUUCACUCUCUCUCCAUCUCUCCGGUGAAACUAGCGGACCAUGGUCUAGAAAUACUAAGAAAUCGUACACUCGCCUCACAUAGAGAAAUACAUAGAAAUAAGCUUUAAUUGCACUUAAUUGUAUAGUAACAUUAUGAAGCACACACAGAAAUCUCUGUUCAGAAAAAGACUGGUGGUUUACAUUUUCCUUCA